AUAGUACUCCCUCCGUUCGGAAUUACUUGUCUCGGAAAUGGAUGUAUCUAGAACUAAAAUACGUCUAGAUACAUCCAUUUCUGCGACAAGUAAUUCCGAACAGAGGGAGUAGGUG
rnacentral:pre_miRNA from 1 species